GACAAUCCACUGAGCCACACCCGCACUGGCUGGGCAAAGAGUGCCUUUUUAAUAUUUAGAUUUUUCUAUUCUUUUAGGGAAGGGGAUGGGGAGUUGACUCAAAUCCCAUUCCCCAGAAAUUACAGCAGAGAAAGAAGGAAAAGAGGAGCUAUUAGUAAUCUAGAUUUGAACACAAUUGGGUGACUCUUGAAUUAAUGUCGCAGUGAUUGAGAAGCCGGAAGCUUGGAGCUCAUCCAGUGAUUCUGUCACAUACUCAUGUCUCCAUCUGCUGGCAGAACUUGGUUUUACAAGGCAAACUCAAAUCCUGAAUUACGUGCAUAUGGAAAUUUGCAGGCCCCAGGAUUACUAAAGAGCUAACUCUGUCUUCUUGGUAUAAUUUCACUCUGUUACUGGGAUCACACUGGAAGACGAGGCUGGUGUGGAAAUCCCCUGGGAGAAAAUGACGGUCAUUGUCGAAGGAGAAACAGGAAGGAAGCUUUUGCCUCCUACCAAGCCAAAGACGGGGCUGGACUCCAAAGAAACUGUCAUUCAAACCAGGACUGAGAAGCACCUGUUCUGCCCUCUCCAUGAUUCUUCUGGUGCCUCUAUGAAUGGCCUGAAAGUUUCAGAUAACAGCAUCUCCUCUAUCUGGAUCUCAUAUGGAGGAUAAGGACAACUGGGGCCCAGUCCACAGAUUCAGCUCCACACUGCAGAGUGGAACAUGGAUAGGAUACUGGCUUCAUCCUUGGAUUUGAAGAAUUAUAAGUGAUUUGUAUCCUAGAGGGAAAAAAUAUGAAGACACAAAAGAGGAACAGCAAGCAUAGGCCUGGGCUAUCCACGAUGCUCAAGGAAGCAGGAGCUAUCAGACAAUCCAAGGUCAUAUGAGGAAACUAAAGCUGGGGCAAGGUAAGUGACUGCCCAGAGUCACACAGUUGGAUGAAGAGCAAAACUGGAACUGGAAUGUGAGUUUUUUGUUUUAUGCAAAUUAUGUGUCUCUUUCUGCUAUGGGAAAGACAUUGGUCAGGGAAGACUUCACAGAGGAGGUGCUUGAAUUACCCAAGUGUCAGGGCGCCAAGUACACAAGGGGGACAGGGUCCUCUGGGCAAAGGCACAAAGAUGCAACACAGCACAGCCAGUUAAGGAAACAAAACAUGGUUUCUAGAAUGUGAACUCCUUGAGGACAAGAAGGUCCAGCUCCUUGAAUGGGGCCUGGGUUUAGCAAGCGAGGUUUGAAGGAAGGAAUGUCUGGAACACAGACCCUCCAUAGGAGAGUAGCUGUGGGGGAGGAUAGGAAGUUAGGCAAGAGUCAGAAGAUGGAGAGCCUUUUAUACAAUACCAGGAGCCCAGUGCAUGAAUUCGUGCACCUUGAAAGGAACUGUGGGCUGUGAGGCUGCGGUGGGCACAAGGGCAGGUCUUUUUUUAAAAAAAUAUAUUUUAUUGAAUUUUUACA